AAGAUUAGAGGAAAAUAAUACACCAAGAUUCAAUCAUCAGGAGUCCUUUGCAUAGACCACUCAUCUAAACUUAAGGGACAGCUGCCUUUCCGCUGAAGAUUUUUAUAAGUCCAGCCAGCAAGAAAGUUCAGAGCACCAAAAAUCUUAACUGUCGUAAGGUACAACUACGGGUAAAGUUUAAUGGUACAGUAUGGAAUCAAUUGGACUAUGAUGGUUGCAUUAUGGAACCUUCUGCUGUCCUCCAGUGAAAAAUGAAUUAAUAAACUUAUGGUGGAUAUUUCUGCACAAGAGCUAAUUUGACAAUCUGCAGCAUAUUUCUCUUUGGCCAUGUUGCAGAUUUAAUCAACUACACUACAUAUAUUUUCUCCAACAAUUUUUGAUAGUUUUUAUAUAAGAAAAUCAUUACUACUUGUUCCUAUGGUAGGUUACUGAAAAAUAAUUAUUAAUUUACUUCAGAGUAAUAUAUUUGACAUGUUUGCAUCUUUUUAGUACUGCUGCAGAUUUUAAGGAUAUUUUUGCUGUGAGUAGGAUCAGCUGGGCAUAAGAUCAUCAGAUUCUUAUAGAUGUCACUUUUAUACAGUGAACCAACUAUUGACAUUUAAUUUUCACCUUUUAAAAAUAUAUUAUUGCUCAAGGAAAUUAUUUACAUAGGAAUAAUGUACUUCAUUGCAAUAUUUGUCAAUGGAAUGCUAAUUUUUGCCUGUCAAUAUUUCUUUCAGCUUUAUUUCUUUACAAAGCAUUAAAGGAAAAAUAUAACUACUGCCUAACCACAUUAUUGGGUUAUGUCUUCCAUUUUGUGUAAUAUCAUAAUGAUAUUUUCUCAUACAAAGAUGAUAGUGAUGAUGUUGCCAGAGAUAGCGGGACUAAACCUCAAAUCUGCACAUUCCUAAACUCUAGAGAGGAGGUUUGAUUAGUCUUCAAGUUUUGUACCUCAAGUUUGUCUCUGAGCAUUUCAGUAUGUAUGGUAAAUUGCAAUAGGGUAAAUGUUCUGUUACUUCUGUGUACUGUAGUGUUAAAUGAUGGAUGGGUCAUUAAAAACCCAUUAACUUCAUAACUACUGUAAGUUUCCCACAAAACAUCAAACUAAUUGUAUAUUUCCACAUGGCUGAAUGUUUUUAAAUGAUUAAAGCAUUUUGCGUAAUUCUUUAGUCAAGUUCUUUUUCUAACAGAACAUAAUAUGGCAUACAUCCAAAAAGCCAACCCAUUAAUAUGUUUCAAUAAAGUAAAGACUGCUUUUAAAAACAAAAAACAAAACAGGAACAUUUGGACAUCCAGAAGUAAGCUAUUAAGAGCUAUACCAUAUACUCAGUCAUCAUGUGCAAAUUCCCACUGAUUUAACCAAAACAUAUGAAGGUCAGUACAUGACCAUGCAUUCUGAAUCACAACAAUUUACAGCACUUAUCUUUAAAGUAUACAGUAAAUUGUUGCGAGACAGGCCUGCAAAAAAGGAAUCUUUGAAAGGAUUCCAUGCUUCCACCCCCACCUUCCCACCCCAAAGGCAAAAAAAGUUACUCAUUUGAGCUCUUUGCUCUAUGGUAAAUAGUCAGUUGGUUUUGGGGGGUUAAAAAUAGAAUUGUAAUAAUAAAUGUCUGGAAAAAUAAAUUACAUCUGCUUACUUACAAGCUGAAGAAAGUUUCCUGCUGAGAACCCUAAUAACACUUGUUAAGAAACUUUCUGAUCUGGUCAUUACUGGUUUAAUGUAUGGAUAUAGCUAUUACAUCACCUGUUACAUAAGGAUUCAUAUUAUUUAAGCAGCUUGGGCAAUACCAGAUUUGUUCAGAUGGCAGAGAACAAUUAGGCCCAUUUCUGACCUAAAUCAUGAAUGCCUUUCCUGAAGGAGGAAAUCUGCCAAUCACCCUGAAGCACACAGUAGUUAAGCCAGUGCUCAAGAAGCCAUCACUGGAUGCCAAUAACUUCAUUAACUACUAGCCCAUCUCCAUCCUGUUUCUGGGAAGAAUCAUCAAGAGAAUGGAGGCAACUAAACUCCAUCAGCACUUGUCUUAUACCAGCAUCCUAGAUCACACACAUGACUCGGAAAACAAGUGACAGGGAUAAACUCCUCUUGGGAGAGUGAUAUUUACAAAUAAUUCAUAUUGUUCAUAUGUAUUUCUGUUGCUAUAUGUUAUCAUUUCCUGUUUUCAUAUGUUGUUUAAUUUUGUUUUUUUUCAGAUCCUCUCAGGAGGCAUUCAAGUCAGCUCCUUACAGGAUCAGCCCCUUGGGGAUCCAGCCUCUGACUAUUGAGGGAUUUUCUUUGUUUCUUAAUGUUUCUGUUCCUCUUCAUCUUUUUUUCUUCACAGCUUAUUGACCAACUGCCAAAUGCUUCAGUAUGGUUGCUCAGAACUUCAGCUGGAGUAAUUCAAAGGAGCUGAAUCAAUUUAUACCAGUUGAGGAUCUGAGUGAGUGGAGAUAAUAAUUGCUGCUGGCCUAUUAUACCAGAAGAAAAUCAGGUUGUUGUGUACUUACAGCUGUCAAGGGUGAUUCCCCACUCUGGCACUUUGAGUGCAGAAGCUCGGAGCAAACCGAUUGCAUAUUGGAAAAUCCUGGGUGAUGUAAAAAACAUAUUGCCUAGUAAUGAUGUUCUCCUUAUUAAGCAAGCUGGACUGCAUUUCCAUCAGGCAUGGCUUUUCCAUUGUCAUGCACCUGUGUGAUCAUUUACACUUUCGUAAAGUUGGUGCAGAGUGGACGUAAAAUGCUACCAUUCAGAUUUUUUAAGCAUCUUUUCACAGGUGUAAAUAAAUGACCAAUCUAUACAAGACAGUGGACAAUCAGGCUUGUUAUUUGUAACAGUCAGCUUUGACUGGGCAGCUGAAUCCACUUCUAGCCAUCUGUAAUAAAAAUACAGUAGCACAUA